GGCCUUUGAUUUUUUCUUCUCAAUAGCAAAAUACUCCCUUUUGCUCUUCUAGGGUUUUGACCUCAAGCAAAACACGCCGUCGCCAGACCACCACCAUAUCAGGAGACCGGUAACGCGCGAAAGGCUCCCGUUUCAGACGAAGAACCCGAUCAACGAAGGCUAAACACCAAGGCAAAAGUGAUGGAACGGGGUUGGUGCAAGGAUGAGCAGAGGGGUCAGGCUUCGAGGCCAGGCGUGGGCGGUGCACUCGAGGCACGUGGGGAAGCAGCGCGGCGCAAAGAGGGGCUCAAAAACCCUAGGGUCUCUGAGUUGGUUUAAGGUCUUGGGCCUAUUGGGUCGACAGAAGCUGGGUUUGUUUAUUAUUGUUUGGGCUUGUUAGGCCCGGGCAAAUUUGGGCCCGUACAAUUAUAUUUGACACUCACCUCUUUAUUUAAGUUACUUUUAUGCAAGAUUAGAAGUGUAAUACAACCAACUUUGAAUCCAAACAAAUUAUUCACUCAAUUAUUUAAUUCGUUCUAUUUAGACA